UACGUAGGGGGCAAGCGUUGUUCGGAAUUACUGGGCGUAAAGGGCGCGUAGGCGGCAUGGCAAGUCAGGAGUGAAGGCCUGGGCUCAACCGAGGAACUGCUUUUGAUACUGCCAAGCUAGAGUGCGGAAGGGCAACUGGAAUUCCCAGUGUAGCGGGUGAAAUGCGUAGAGUAUUGGGAAGAACACCUGAGGCGAAGCGGGUUGCUGGGCCGACACGUGACGCUGACGGCGCGAAAGCCAGGGAGCAACGGG
rnacentral:rRNA from 1 species